AUGUGUGCAUACUUCAUAGCUUCAGUCAACUAGGCUCUCUUAACUAGGUUACUACCAAAUCCACCUUCAUCUAUUAUUACAAAUAGUUUCCGUUUAGGCCUACCUAAUGUAACUCACUUUUUCUCAAACAUAAGCUGCACCUUGACCUGACAUGUUUCUUUAAAGAGACGUGAAUAUGUUUUACCAAAAUUUUCUGAUGASGGCGGUAUACAGGCCUUAAUUUAAGUUAGUUAUAGUGGGGGUUAUCAAUUAUAAAACAAGUUCCUCUGAUAAGUUAGAAUACCGCCAAAUUCUUUAAGUUUCCA
rnacentral:rRNA from 1 species